rnacentral:rRNA from 1 species
GAUGAACGCUGGCGGCGUGCUUAACACAUGCAAGUCGAACGUGAAGAAGCAGCAAUGUUUCUGAAAGUGGCGGACGGGUGAGUAACACGUGGGUGACCUGCCUUGCAGAGGGGGAUAACGAGGGGAAACCUUCGCUAAUACCGCAUAGGCUUACACUGAUGGGAAUGGUGUGGGUAAAACUGAGGUGCUGCAAGAGGGGCCUGCGUCCGAUUAGCUAGUUGGUGAGGUAAUGGCUCACCAAGGCGAUGAUCGGUAGCUGGUCUGAGAGGACGAUCAGCCACACGGGAACUGAGAAACGGUCCCGACUCCUACGGGGGGCAGCAGUGAGGAAUAUUGGGCAAUGGACGAAAGUCUGACCCAGCAACGCCGCGUGGAGGAUGAAGGUUUUUGGAUUGUAAAGUUCUUUUGCCCGUGACGAUGAUGACGGUAACGGGAGAAUAAGCACCGGCUAACUACGUG